rnacentral:rRNA from 1 species
GACGAACGCUGGCGGCGCGCUUAACACAUGCAAGUCGAGCGAAGCGGCGGACUGGCGAGUAACACGUGAGUAACCUGCCUUAGACAUUGGGAUUGCCUCGGGAAACCGGGAUUACUACCACAUGGUCUAAGAUGGACUCGCGUCCCAUUCGCAAGUUGGUGAGGUAACGGCCCACCACGGCGACGAUGAGUAGCCGGCCUGAGAGGGUGAGCGGCCACAAUGGAACUGAGAAACGGUCCUACCGCUACGGGAGGCAGCAGAGGGGAAUAUUGCACAAUGGAGGGAACGCUGAUGCAGCGACGCCGCGAGAACGAAGAAGGCUUUCGAGUCGUAAAGUUCUAUAAUAUGGGAAGCGGUACCAUAAGAAAAAGCCCCGGCUAACUACGUGCCAGCAGCCGCGGUAAUUC